rnacentral:rRNA from 1 species
UACGAAGGGGGCUAGCGUUGCUCGGAAUCACUGGGCGUAAAGGGUGCGUAGGCGGGUCUUUAAGUCAGGGGUGAAAUCCUGGAGCUCAGCUCCAGAACUGCCUUUGAUACUGAGGAUCUUGAGUUCGGGAGAGGUGAGUGGAGCUGCGAGUGUAGAGGUGAAAUUCGUAGAUAUUCGCAAGAACACCAGUGGCGAAGGCGGCUCACUGGCCCGAUACUGACGCUGAGGCACGAAAGCGUGGGGAGCAAACAGG